CCUUUACUGCAUUCAUCUCCAAGAAACUUUGCCUCUUCUCACUUGCAGUAAUUUGCCCUGCUAAAUCCUGAGCUAAAGGCAGUACCUUCUUGCUGGAAACCUUGUUGUUAUAAACAGAUAAUCAACCAUAUGACUCAGUGCAAUCUCUAAGAUACAGACCUCUAAGCAAGGCCGUCUGUUACACAGCGUGUUCUGCAGUGACGAUCAGAGACGCAAGAUGGAUUUCUGUGUGGUGUUCCAAAUCAAGGUUCUUCUCUACAACAAGUGCCUUGCCUGCCCAGACCACACAGAGGUGUGUUCCUCAUGAAAGUGAAGAAGGAAGGAGUCUCUGGGCUCCCUCUGAGCCCUAAGUUAAAGGAAACAGAGAUGUCAAACAGCAA